CCGGGUGGUCUCGACCUAGGGUGGUUGUUCAGCGAAUUGGGGCGGCCUGGUGUGCGGCGUCUGCCUAGGUCUAGUGCGGCGCUGUCCGCGAAGCUGUGGCAGGCAAUUGCGUCGGCAGUACUGUUGUUUGGAUUGAAAUUUGGUUUGGUGCACGAGGGGAGGUGAGCAACCCCAAUUCUAGUGAUUUCCAUUUCAAAAUUCCAAUUAGCUUCCACUUAAUUAAGUUGCCCUUUGUCAUGUUCUUCCCAAGUAGAUAGUUUGAUCUCUGAUUAGUACCUGGUUCGCUCAAUAAAACUAGGAAGAAGAAUCUGGUAGGUCAUGUUACUUAGCUUUUGACGAGUGGUUCAGAUACUAGAUUUUCUAUGUUGUUGGAGUUAUCUCGAGGCGAUGUUGGGUUUUAUUUUGCACGUCUUGAUGGAUGUUGGGAGUCGUUGCCGAGAGUACGCAGGAAUACGAUCAUUUGUUUGUUCAAAUUGGGAAACCUAACAAGAUACAGAAGCAACCAAUGAAAUUUCAGUUAAAGAAAGCUGUAUCAGCUCACCUUGGUCUUUUCUGCUCAGUUCAUCACUAAACUCCUUUAUUCUUCCAUGCUGCUCGCUGGCACUUGGUAUAUUAUGCUAAGCAGUUCUUGUAAGAGCUGGUACUCAGAAGACUGUUGCUUUUGUUAAAGCAGGGAUCGAGGCUUUUGUCAAAAAAGGUUAUUUUCAUUUUACAGUAUAAGCUUCCUUGUGUUUGUAUUCUUGUACUUAACACUAUUUGACUGCAUUUUCUCAGGAAUACUCCAUUUUUUCACGGUGGUGGGUGGUCGUCGAUCGCAGUAGGCUUACCAGUCGUGCAACAUCUCUUGUAGUCCUCGUGGCCAGGUUACAUUGACCGUUGGCUUGCUUGUUGAUGUGGUCUGCAUCUCCUCCCAGCAAGACGGUCGUCAAGCAGGCCUUAGCCGCUGGAGCUCUCAAGUAUAGCCCUCUCUCCAUAAAUUCGCAGGAGUAUGUGUCUAAUUAUCCUCCCAAUAUGGUUUGAUUUAGCAAAGAAGUAUAGUAAUUGAAUUUAAUAGAUCAUGUCCCAACAGGCAUAGGCUAACUAGGUAUUGCAGUUUCAAUUUUUAUCUCCUCCCCCAAUUUGUUAGUAUUAGUUAUAGCUGUCCUACAAGCUAAAUACUCAAGACCGUAAUAUCUUUUUGCCCAGUUGGUACAUAGAUCGUGUCAUUAUUAGUUUACUUUUUGCCCAGCAUGUCCAUGGUUGAUGGUAGAGUGUCCACCACUGUCACAUAGAAUGCACAUCUUGCCCAAAAAAUUUGCUUUCUCAAAAGAUGAAGCUCUUCAAUUAUGAAACUGAAAAGACUUAGUGACUUAAUUUUCUGCCGAAAAGUCUCAAUCUUUAUUGAUGUAAUGCCCCGAGACCGACGCUCCAGAUGCCUUUCCUGUUUUGCGUGUCAGCUCUGUUAUUUAUUUGUUUGUUGCAUUUCAUCAUAGCAUCAUGCACAUUGCAUCUGCAUGUUUUCAUAAAGUUUGCAUCCGUUCGUAGUUGCCGCGUCCCUCCUCGCCUCCGUUGACCUUUCUCAGUCUAGCCGUUCUUUUGUGGUCCGGCCGUUUGGCCCUUUCUGCACAGUGCACUGACCCCCUCGUGCGUGUCCGAAACUUCCCCGAACCCGACCCGGAUUGUGUUACCGGUGGGUCCGGAUCGUCUCCUAACAUCUAUAAAACAUCUCCGUUUUCUUAUUUAGACUCCCUACCUAUUUAUUCUCGACCGCCCGAUUACGAUCGGACGGACCGAGUUAACCCCUACCCUAAUUCCCUACCUAUAUACACCGCCUAACCCUAAAUUCUAGGGACUUGUCCCAUCCUCCGCCGCCGCCAGCCGACAGCCUCCCUCCAACCUCGGGAUCUCCUCCCGAUCCAACUGCUCCUCUCUUUCCGCGCCUAGCCAUCCCCUCGAUCCAUCCAUCCAGUCGAUCCAGCCACCUCCUCGAUUUGCAAACCCAGCCAACCAGAGCCAGCACCCCACUCGAUCCACCUCGCCGGUGCCUCCUCCUCCAACUCCGAUCGGGAGAGGAGCUCCCGAUCUGAACCUUCCUUGCGCCUACGGUUCAGCGCGCCCGCGCCCAAGCUCCUCCCCUGCCCCGAGCCGCAUCUGCAGUUCUCCUCCUCAAGCAGCGCAUCCCCGAGCGAGGAGUGCUCGAUCUGCUCGUGCUAGAGCACCUCCAUGGAGCCGAGGAGCUCCUGCACCUUGCCUCCUCCGCCUUCAUCGAACUCGCCACCGGCACCUCCAUCCUCGACGGCCUCACCACCAUCUCCGGUGAGCCUCGUCGCUCAUCCUCGUCCCGCUCCUCUCCUCCCCUGUCUCUCCCUUCCUCCCCGUGCUUCCCUCUGUUCCUCACAUCUCUCUCUCUCUUACAUGCCCAUGGACAGGAGACUGAAGCCCAAGCCACCGGCGGCCUUCCUCGCGCCUGGAUCUGGAGUUGCCGCCCCGGAUCGACCUGUCCCGCGCCCGUCGUCGCCUGGCGCCGCCAAGUCCCGCUCCUGCCUCUGUUCGAGAGGAGGCUGCAGUCGCGCAGCCGGGUUGACAACUCCUCUGCUUCGGCUCGUCCCGUGUCGCCAUCCACGUCCCCGCGCGGCCCGGUCCGUCCCGGCCUACCUCUCCACCGCCUGGGCCUUGGCCCAUGGUGACCAGCCUAGCCGCCCAGCAGUUUUGGCCCAUGUAGUGUUUUUUCUUCAUGUCUGCGAUUUUAGCAUUAUCCAGAGAACUGCAGUUUUACAGAAAAACCCUCAAACAUCAUGCAUAUAAUAACUCUUUAACAGUGCAUCAUAUGUAAAAACAUUAUAUAUAUGAAAAAUGCUUAGAUUUCUGUCUAGUUUCAUGUUAUGCUAUUUUCAUCCAUAUUAAAAUGUUUAAACUUGCUGUUUGUUUAAUUUUGCAUAAAUGCCAUGCUAAAAUGUUUUAUUUCAUAACUAAAUAACCGUAGCUCAGAUUUAAAUGUUCUUUAUAUGUAAAUGGGGUAGAAAAAUGCAUAGAUUAACAUGGUGCACUUUGUUUGCUGAUUAACAUCAUUAAAAUAUGGUUUAGGGCAGAACAGUACCAAUUCCAAAAUAUGCAUAUGAGGAUUUUCCGGAAUUGUUGUUUGUUGUUCCGGCCUCAUUUAAACUUGCCUAAAUAGUUAGUUUACUUAUACUUCACUCCUUGCCAUGUUUAAUGACAUUGAAUAUUGUUGGGUACAUAAACGAGAGCGAACUAAAUAACUUGAAUGUGGUGUCUCGUCAAUAUGCAAGUCGUUGCAUAUUGAGCUCCACUUAAUUUGUAGUGUUGUUUGUGCACUUUGCCAUGCCUCACUAAACCGGACAUGCAUCAUACUUGAUUGUGCAUCAUGCCAUGUUCAUGUGAUGGUUGUUUACCAUGUUGUUUGCUUCUUUUCGGUGUUGCUCUUCGGGUUAGUUCCAGUAACGUCGCGUUUGUGAGGAUUCGUUCGACUUCAUCCGUUGGUCUUCUGCAUGGACCCGUUCUUCUUCCUUGCGGGAUCUCAGUCAAGAUGACCAUACCCUCGAAAUCACUUGUAUCUUUGCUUUGCUAGUUGUUCGCUCUAUCGCUAUGCUGCGCUACCUACCACUUGCUAUAUCAUGCCUCCCAUAUUGCCAUGUCAAGCCUCUAACCAUCCUUUCCUAGCAAACCGUUGUUUGGCUAAGUUACCGCUUUUACUCAGCCCUUCUUAUAGCGUUGCUAGUUGCAGGUGAUGUUGAGGUUGGUUCCAUGUUGGAACAUGGAUAUUUUGAAAUAUCACAAUAUCUCUUAUUUAAUUAAUGCAUCUAUAUAUUUGGUAAAGGGUGGAAGGCUCGGCCUUAUGCCUGGUGUUUUGUUCCACUCUUGCCGCCCUAGUUUCCGUCAUACCGGUAUUAUGUUCCUUGAUUUUGCGUUUCUUACGCGGUUGGGUGAUUUAUGGACCCUCUUGACAGUUCGCCUUGAUAAAACUCCUCCAGCAAGGCCCAACCUUGGUUUUACCAUUUGUCACCUAAGCCUUUUUUUCCCUUGGGUUUUCGCGAGCCCGAGGGUCAUCUUUAUUUAACCCCCCGGGCCAGUGCUCCUUCGAGUGUUGGUCCGAACCGAGCAGCCUGCGGGGCCACCUCGGGGAAACUUGAGGCCUGGUUUUACUCGUAGCUUGACUUAUCCGGUGUGCCUUGAGAACGAGAUAUGUGCAGCUCCUAUCGGGAUUUGUCGGCGCAUCGGGCGGCUUUGCUGGUCUUGUUUUACCAUUGUCGAGAUGUCUUGUAAAUCGGGAUUCCGAGACUGAUCGGGUCUUCCCGGGAGAAGGUUUAUCCUUCGUUGACCGUGAGAGCUUAUAAUGGGCUAAGUUGGGACACACCUGCAGGGUAUUAUCUUUCGAAAGCCGUGCCCGUGGUUAUGAGGCAGAUGGGAAUUUGUUAAUGUCCGAUUAUAGAGAACUUGACACUUGACUUAUUUAAAAUACAUCAACCGUGUGUGUAGCCGUGAUGGUCUCUUUUUGGCGGAGUCCGGGAAGUGAACACGGUUUGAGUUAUGCAUGAACGUAAGUAGUUUCAGGAUCACUUCUUGAUCAUUUCUAGCUUCGCGCCCGUUGCGAUGCUCCUUUUCUCGCUCUUAUUUGCGUAUGUUAGCCACCAUAUAUGCUUAGUGUUUGCUGCAGCUCUACCUCAUUGCCCCAUCCUUCCUACAAGCUUAAAUAGUCUUGAUCUCGCGGGUGUGAGAUUGCUGAGUCCUCGUGACUCACAGAUUCUACCAAAACAGUUGCAGGUGCCGACGAUACCCGUGCAGAUGACGCAACUGAGCUCAAGUGGGAGUUCGACGAGGAACGUGGUCGUUACUAUGUUUCGUUUCCGGAUGAUCAGUAGUGGAGCCCAGUUGGAACGAUCGGGGAUCUAGCAUUUGGGGUUAUCUUAUUUUCAUUUGGAUUUGACCGUAGUCGGUCUAUGUGUGGAUUUUGGAUGAUUUAUGAAUUAAUUUAUGUAUUGUGUGAAGUGGCGAUUGUAAGCCAACUCUCGUUAUCCCAAUCUUGUUCAUUACAUGAGAUUGUGUGAAGAUGACCCUUCUUGCGACAAUACCUACAAUGCGGUUAUGCCUCUAAGUCGUGUCUCGACACGUGGGAGAUAUAUCCGCAUCGUGGGCGUUACAAGUUGGUAAUCAGAGCCAUCCCCGACUUAGGAGCCCCUGCUUGAUCGAAUCGCUGGCGUUGUUGAGUCUAGAACAAAAAUGUUUUGAGUCUUAGGAUUAUAUAUAUCGGAGAGUAGGAUUCUUUUUACUCCUCAGUCCCUUCGUCGCUCUGGUGAGGCCUCCUGACGCAGAUGUUUUGACUUUCCUCUCCUCAAAUUUCAAUAAAAAAAUUAGGAUCACGCGGGUAUCUUGGAAUCGUUCCGAUGGUUUUGUGACGAGAACAUUGUUCUUGGUGCCUCCUGACAUUUAGGGGUUGUGGCAGUGUCCCGGGGAAUUGAGCUCCGAGGUGUUGUCGUCACAAUUUUAUCGUUGCAGUUCUGGAAUACCUGAGUUUCGCCGACAUCGAAAAUCUCUUUUAUGCAGUUAUUGGUGAGAUCACCUCGACGCCACCCAGUACUGGGGCGGGAGUUCGGGAGUAUUGCCAUAACUCGUAUAACGGAUGCUUUUCGAAGGUUGAGGUAAAUGAUUUUCGAAGAUUUCUUGGUUAUGUGUUGAAGGAUGGAUACAGCUGGAUCUAGGUAUUGUUAGUUUGGGUGAGAUAUAUUGUGUCCCCUGUAUCCCCAACACCUGAUUGCAUAACCAGAAAGUUUCGGGAGUUUAUAAGUGGGAAUUCAAGUAGCUUCUAGGAUAUCUUUCCGACAGAUGCAUGAUAUGAGAUUGGGGUUCAACGUCUAGUGGUUCGCCUUUCCACGGUUGGUUUUACAGUGGUUUCGUAGUGUCUUAAAGAGUCCUUGGCUAUGCCGACUCGGGGACGCUUCGUAUGUCAUGUGCACUGCCUUGUACAUGAUGGUGCUGUGCGAUCGAGCCCGUGUGGGCCCCAUCACGAAAACUUCGGGCGAAAUCUCUAUCAUGUUUGUUCCGGCUUAUUCCGCAAGCCAAAUCCUUUGUUUUGUUUUAAGUUGUGGUAUUAGAGUUGCUUCGAAGUCAAAUGUGGAUUCCAUACCUUUUCUAAGUGGUGUUCUCAUAUUCCAAUGUAGAUACUAAUCCUUCUUGAUCAUCGAGAUUGCCAUCUUAACUCUAUUUCCAACCGGUGCGUUUCUCUUCGAGAUGAUCCCAUCAUUCUCCCCAUCCGCAAGAUCAAUUAUAAGUUUUCUCAACGGUGUUUAUUCCAUCUGCCCCAAGUUGCCUUUGUUUUCCCGCCCUCCCACCCUCUUUCUUCAAGGACUCAGAUUUCUUAAUCAUGUAUCCAUCUUAUGGAUGUGAAGUUUCUCCAUUCUUUUCCAUCAAUGUUCUAAUCCGCUGAUUCUCAGGAAGAUACUAACGGAGCUUCAAGUUCAUCAUUCUCUUUUCUUCUCCGGUGGAUUCAAUUCAAGCUUUGUUGAUCUUAUCCUUUCCUCGUUUCAAAUGUUUUCUCAUGCCGGUGCAUCUCUUAAUCAUUCCCCGCUUGCUAUUUAUUUGUUCCGGUGUACUGAAGAUAUUGCAGGAGAUUCGUGUUUUCAUUCCUAAUCCGUUCAAGCUAUUUCGAGUUUGUUAUCUCAUUCAAGCCAUUUAAUUCAACCAGUGCAAUCUCUCUUUUAAAUCGUUCAACGGUGUUUCUUUUGAGUGGGCCCUAACCCACAGGUCUUUUCCCAGGAUCUUACCCGACUCUUCUAAUUUUCCCGGAGCUAUUCCAAAUUCUUUUCGAAGUUUGACGUAAGAAUGGGUGAUCAUCAGUCAUAUGUCUUUCUCCAAGAUCUUUCAAAUUCUUUUCAUUGUUGGUCCAACCUUUCUAAUUUUCAUUCUGGAGUGCCUCAACAAUUCAUGGUGGUGUUUCUCAUCGUCAUUCUCGGAUUUUGAAGACCGAAGAAGAGUUUCCUUAAAUCUUGUCCAUUCUCUUGAAGAUGUGUGGUUCUAACUUGUUGCCAUCCUCUCAUAAUUGUUUUUGACUGCGAGAAUUCUUUUCACCCAUCCGAAGCAAUUCGGGAGUCUUUUCAGUUUGAUUCUCUGGAACUCAUCAUCUCAGAAUUAUUCAUUCUCAACUUUCAGAUCUCAUUCUCCAAAUCUUACCGGUGCAUCGUUCAAAUAUCCGCUAAUUAGUUCAUGAUCUCUUCGUUCUUAUGUAUCUAAAUUCUCUAAAGUAUCUUCAUUCUUUUUAUAAUUCUUCCCGGUGAAUUGUGCCUUUGCUAUUUUCAUUUUCAGUUCUUACGGUGGUUCGUUCAAAGAUUCCUCUUCCUUUGUUACCGUAUCAAUUCAUUCAUUCUUCCCAAAUCCUACCGGUGGUUCGUUGAAGACCUUCCCAAGUUGAGCAAUAUCUCUCUUCAAUCCUUUUUCAACGAGAAUAAGUAGUAUGCCAAAUCCGUUGCUUGUCAUCAAUCUAAUUUGGUGAAGGAUACGCAUAACAUAAUUCUUGUUCUUGUUUCAUCCAAGUGAUUAAUUCCUUCUUCCGGAGUUCCAAGUUUUUUCCGCAUUAUCUCGUCGCGAAGCCCCAUCUAAAUCGUUGCAAGGCUUCACCUUGUGUUUUCAACUUCUCUCUCUUUCUAUCAUCCUUGUUUUACCGGAGUUCUUCAUGGAAGGUUCACAUGGUGGUUCGUUAAGGAUUCUUUUCAUUCUCCAAUUGUUCUUCAAGAUUUCUCUCGAAGUUAUGAUCCGUCAAGCCAUACUUCAAAAUAAACAUGGUGCUCAACACAUGUUUUGUUUUGAGGAGUUCAAGUAUUCUUCCUCUUGCAUUCCAAAGUGCAAUUCUUUCUACAAUAUCUUUUGAGGUGGUGUUAUGUCAUUUUGACAGUUUCAUUCAUUUUUCAUGAUUCACAUGUUGUCAGGAAUGAGAUAUUUUAAAUCCAUCAAUCUCUUCAUUGGAGUUAUCUUGGGUUAUAUUUCACCUAAAGCUUUCUUCAAGGAUUGUUGCUAUUUAUGGUGCUUAUAAAUGACACAAGUUCUUCAUUUAUCCUCCGGUGAAAUAAGUUUCUCGUCUCCUUGUUCAUAUCAAUCCAAUCUAUUGUUUCCGUUAGUGGCAGAAUUUCACCUCAUAGCUUUGAGAAGUUUUUCCAUAAGUCCACUACAAGCUUAUUCUUUUCGUUGUUGGUUUUCCAACAACUCCGUUCAAUCCUACUUCGUAAGGAUGCCCUUUAAAAUUCAUUUAUGAUAGGAGAUGUUGGUUUCAUUCUUCGUUCUAUUCACUCCAACUAUCUAACUAUCAUGCAUUGUUUCCGGAGGCUUUGUGAUGUUGCUCUCUUCACCCAUCUCCUCGUUUUGUAAAGAUCGUGUUCUUUUUCUUGCUUAUCCAUCUAACCGGAGUGUUGUGUUUUCAUUCGAGCUCUCUCAUCUUAUCAAGUUUUGCCUCCUUCCUCAACCAGAGUGCGGUCUGAAAUCUUUCUUACCCCUUGUGCCAUUUUUUCAAUAGUUCCGGAGGCAGUGUGUUAUUGAUUUCUCAAGUAUCAUCCCAUCUUCGCAAGUUCAUGUUAAUUCCUUCCAUUUUCAGUCGGAGUGUUGUCCAAAUUAUAUCAUUCUUAAUCCUACUCUAUCUUGUUUUAACCGGAGUGGCUUCAAAAUCUAUCUUGUCCCUAAGCUCUUGGUUCUCAUCAUGUUCUUUGUUCUUCUCUGCUAACGCAGUGUUUGCAAUCUCGUUCACCUCCAUUGUAUUCUUUCUUUCGAUUUGUUCAACCUCUCAAGGUUUGUGGGUUUCACUCGUUUGUCAAAGAAGCAACUUUGUUUUACCUAUUCCUCCCCCGUUUUCCCUCCGGUGCCAUCCUAGAUCUCGGGACGAGAUCCUCUUGUAGUGGUGGAGUGGUGUAACGCCCCGAGACCGACGCUCCAGAUGCCUUUCCUGUUUUGCGUGUCAGCUCUGUUAUUUAUUUGUUUGUUGCAUUUCAUCAUAGCAUCAUGCACAUUGCAUCUGCAUGUUUUCAUAAAGUUUGCAUCCGUUCGUAGUUGCCGCGUCCCUCCUCGCCUCCGUUGACCUUUCUCAGUCUAGCCGUUCUUUUGUGGUCCGGCCGUUUGGCCCUUUCUGCACAGUGCACUGACCCCCUCGUGCGUGUCCGAAACUUCCCCGAACCCGACCCGGAUUGUGUUACCGGUGGGUCCGGAUCGUCUCCUAACAUCUAUAAAACAUCUCCGUUUUCUUAUUUAGACUCCCUACCUAUUUAUUCUCGACCGCCCGAUUACGAUCGGACGGACCGAGUUAACCCCUACCCUAAUUCCCUACCUAUAUACACCGCCUAACCCUAAAUUCUAGGGACUUGUCCCAUCCUCCGCCGCCGCCAGCCGACAGCCUCCCUCCAACCUCGGGAUCUCCUCCCGAUCCAACUGCUCCUCUCUUUCCGCGCCUAGCCAUCCCCUCGAUCCAUCCAUCCAGUCGAUCCAGCCACCUCCUCGAUUUGCAAACCCAGCCAACCAGAGCCAGCACCCCACUCGAUCCACCUCGCCGGUGCCUCCUCCUCCAACUCCGAUCGGGAGAGGAGCUCCCGAUCUGAACCUUCCUUGCGCCUACGGUUCAGCGCGCCCGCGCCCAAGCUCCUCCCCUGCCCCGAGCCGCAUCUGCAGUUCUCCUCCUCAAGCAGCGCAUCCCCGAGCGAGGAGUGCUCGAUCUGCUCGUGCUAGAGCACCUCCAUGGAGCCGAGGAGCUCCUGCACCUUGCCUCCGCCGCCUUCAUCGAACCUCGCUGCCGGCACCUCCAUCCUCGACGGCCUCACCACCAUCUCCGGUGAGCCUCGUCGCUCAUCCUUGUCCCGCUCCUCUCCUCCCCUGUCUCUCCCUUCCUCCCCGUGCUUCUCUCUAUUCCUCACAUCUCUCUCUCUCUCUCUCUUACAUGCCCAUGGACAGGAGCCUGAAGCCCAAGCCACCGGCGGCCUACCUCGCGCCUGGAUCUGGAGUUGCCGCCCCGGAUCGACCUGUCCCGCGCCCGUCGUCGCCUGGCGCCGCCAAGUCCCGCUCCUGCCUCUGUUCGAGAGGAGGUUGCAGUCGCGCAGCCGGGUUGACCACUCCUCUGCUUCCGCUCGUCCCGCGUCGCCAGCCACGUCCCCGUGCGGCCCAGUCCGUCCCGGCCUACCUCUCCACCGCCUGGGCCUUGGCCCAUGGUGAGCAGCCUAACCGCCCAACAGUUUUGGCCCACGUAGUGUUUUUUUUUCAUGUCUGCGAUUUUAGCAUUAUCCAGAGAACUGCAGUUUUACAGAAAAACCCUCAAACAUCAUGCAUAUAAUAACUCUUUAACAGUGCAUCAUAUGUAAAAACAUUAUAUAUAUGAAAAAUGCUUAGAUUUCUGUCUAGUUUCAUGUUAUGCUGUUUUCAUCCAUGUUAAAAUGUUUAAACUUGCUGUUUGUUUAAUUUUGCAUAAAUGCCAUGCUAAAAUGUUUUAUUUCAUAACUAAAUAACCGUAGCUCAGAUUUAAAUGUUCUUUAUAUGUAAAUGGGGUAGAAAAAUGUAUAGAUUAACAUGGUGCACUUUGUUUGCUGAUUAACAUCAUUAAAAUAUGGUUUAGGGCAGAACAGUACCAAUUCCAAAAUAUGCAUAUGAGGAUUUUCCGGAAUUGUUGUUUGUUGUUCCGGCCUCAUUUAAACUUGCCUAAAUAGUUAGUUUACUUAUACUUCACUCCUUGCCAUGUUUAAUGACAUUGAAUAUUGUUGGGUACAUAAACGAGAGCGAACUAAAUAACUUGAAUGUGGUGUCUCGUCAAUAUGCAAGUCGUUGCAUAUUGAGCUCCACUUAAUUUGUAGUGUUGUUUGUGCACUUUGCCAUGCCUCACUAAACCGGACAUGCAUCAUACUUGAUUGUGCAUCAUGCCAUGUUCAUGUGAUGGUUGUUUACCAUGUUGUUUGCUUCUUUUCGGUGUUGCUCUUCGGGUUAGUUCCAGUAACGUCGCGUUUGUGAGGAUUCGUUCGACUUCAUCCGUUGGUCUUCUGCAUGGACCCGUUCUUCUUCCUUGCGGGAUCUCAGGCAAGAUGACCAUACCCUCGAAAUCACUUGUAUCUUUGCUUUGCUAGUUGUUCGCUCUAUCGCUAUGCUGCGCUACCUACCACUUGCUAUAUCAUGCCUCCCAUAUUGCCAUGUCAAGCCUCUAACCAUCCUUUCCUAGCAAACCGUUGUUUGGCUAAGUUACCGCUUUUACUCAGCCCUUCUUAUAGCGUUGCUAGUUGCAGGUGAAGUUGAGGUUGGUUCCAUGUUGGAACAUGGAUAUUUUGGAAUAUCACAAUAUCUCUUAUUUAAUUAAUGCAUCUAUAUAUUUGGUAAAGGGUGGAAGGCUCGGCCUUAUGCCUGUUGUUUUGUUCCACUCUUGCCGCCCUAGUUUCCGUCAUACCGGUAUUAUGUUCCUUGAUUUUGCGUUUCUUACGCGGUUGGGUGAUUUAUGGACCCUCUUGACAGUUCGCCUUGAUAAAACUCCUCCAGCAAGGCCCAACCUCGGUUUUACCAUUUUCCACCUACGCCUUUUUUCCCUUGGGUUUUCGCGAGCUCAAGGGUCAUCUUUAUUUAACCCCCCCGGGCCAGUGCUCCUUAGAGUGUUGGUCCGAACCGAGCAGCCUGCGGGGCCACCUCGGGGAAACUCGAGGCCUGGUUUUUACUCGUAGCUUGACUUAUCCGGUGUGCCCUGAGAACGAGAUAUGUGGAGCUCCUAUCGUGAUUUGUAGGCGCAUCGGGCGGCUUUGCUGGUCUUGUUUUACCAUUUUCGAGAUGUCUUGUAAACCAGGAUUCCGAGACUGAUCGGGUCUUCCCGGGAGAAGGUUUAUCCUUCGUUGACCGUGAGAGCUUAUAAUGGGUUAAGUUGGGACACCCCUGCAGGGUAUUAUCUUUCGAAAGCCGUGCCCGCGGUUAUGAGGCAGAUGGGAAUUUGUUAAUGUCUGGUUGUAGAGAAUUUGACACUUGACUUAUUUAAAAUACAUCAACCGUGUGUGUAGCCAUGAUGGUCUCUUUUCGGCGGAGUCCGGGAAGUGAACACGGUUUGAGUUAUGCAUGAACGUAAGUAGUUUCAGGAUCACUUCUUGAUCAUUUCUAGCUUCGCGCCCGUUGCGAUGCUCCUCUUCUCGCUCUUAUUUGCGUAUGUUAGCCACCAUAUAUGCUUAGUGCUUGCUGCAGCUCUACCUCAUUACCCCAUCCUUCCUACAAGCUUAAAUAGUCUUGAUCUCGCGGGUGUGAGAUUGCUGAGUCCUCGUGACUCACAGAUUCUACCAAAACAGUUGCAGGUGCCGACGAUACCCGUGCAGAUGACGCAACCAAGCUCAAGUGGGAGUUCGACGAGGAACGUGGUCGUUACUAUGUUUCGUUUCCGGAUGAUCAGUAGUGGAGCCUAGUUGGGACGAUCGGGGAUCUAGCAUUUGGGGUUAUCUUAUUUUCAUUUGGAUUUGACCGUAGUCGGUCUAUGUGUGGAUUUUGGAUGAUGUAUGAAUUAAUGUAUGUAUUGUGUGAAGUGGCGAUUGUAAGCCAACUCUCGUUAUCCCAUUCUUGUUCAUUACAUGGGAUUGUGUGAAAAUGACCCUUCUUGCGACAAUACCUACAAUGCGGUUAUGCCUCUAAGUCGUGCCUCGACACGUGGGAGAUAUAGCCGCAUCGUGGGCGUUACAAUUGACUUGUGGCUUCUUGCUAUGGUUGAUUUUUG
rnacentral:lncRNA from 1 species